rnacentral:rRNA from 1 species
GACGAACGCUGGCGGCGUGCUUAACACAUGCAAGUCGAACGGACAGGCCCUGCUUUUGUGGGGUGCUCGAGUGGCGAACGGGUGAGUAACACGUGAGUAACCUGCCCUUGACUUUGGGAUAACUUCAGGAAACUGGGGCUAAUACCGGAUAGGAGCUCCUGCUGCAUGGUGGGGGUUGGAAAGUUUCGGCGGUUGGGGAUGGACUCGCGGGUUAUCAGCUUGUUGGUGAGGUAGUGGCUUACCAAGGCUUUGACGGGUAGCCGGCCUGGGAGGGUGACCGGCCACAAUGGGACUGAGAGACGGCCCAGACUCGUACGGGAGGCAGCAGUGGGGAAUAUUGCACAAUGGGCGGAAGCCUGAUGCAGCAACGCCGCGUGCGGGAUGACGGCCCUCGGGUUGUAAACCGCUUUCGCCUGUGACGAAGCGUGAGUGACGGUAAUGGGUAAAGAAGCACCGGCUAACUACGUG